GGGGGGUUUGGGGGGUGCUUAUACAUUGCAAGUCGAGCGAACUGAUUAGAAGCUUGCUUCUAUGACGUUAGCGGCGGACGGGUGAGUAACACGUGGGCAACCUGCCUGUAAGACUGGGAUAACUCCGGGAAACCGGAGCUAAUACCGGAUAACAUUUUCUCUUGCAUAAGAGAAAAUUGAAAGAUGGUUUCGGCUAUCACUUACAGAUGGGCCCGCGGUGCAUUAGCUAGUUGGUGAGGUAACGGCUCACCAAGGCAACGAUGCAUAGCCGACCUGAGAGGGUGAUCGGCCACACUGGGACUGAGACACGGCCCAGACUCCUACGGGAGGCAGCAGUAGGGAAUCUUCCGCAAUGGACGAAAGUCUGACGGAGCAACGCCGCGUGAGUGAUGAAGGCUUUCGGGUCGUAAAACUCUGUUGUUAGGGAAGAACAAGUACAAGAGUAACUGCUUGUACCUUGACGGUACCUAACCAGAAAGCCACGGCUAACUACGUGCCAGCAGGCGCGGUAAUACGUAGGUGGUAAGCGUUAUCCGGAAUUAUUGGGCGUAAAGCGCGCGC
rnacentral:rRNA from 1 species